rnacentral:rRNA from 1 species
AUUGAACGCUGGCGGCAUGCCUUACACAUGCAAGUCGAACGGUAACAGGUCUUCGGAUGCUGACGAGUGGCGAGCGGGUGAGUAAUACAUCGGAACGUGCCUAGUAGUGGGGGAUAACUACUCGAAAGAGUGGCUAAUACCGCAUGAGAUCUACGGAUGAAAGCAGGGGAUCGCAAGACCUUGUGCUACUAGAGCGGCCGAUGGCAGAUUAGGUAGUUGGUGGGAUAAAAGCUUACCAAGCCGACGAUCUGUAGCUGGUCUGAGAGGACGAUCAGCCACACUGGGACUGAGGAACGGCCCAGACUCCUACGGGAGGCAGCAGUGGGGAAUUUUGGACAAUGGGCGCAAGCCUGAUCCAGCAAUGCCGCGUGCAGGAUGAAGGCCUUCGGGUUGUAAACUGCUUUUGUACGGAACGAAAAGCCCUGGGUUAAUACCCUGGGGUCAUGACGGUACCGUAAGAAUAAGCACCGGCUAACUACGUGCCAGCCGCCGCGGUAA